rnacentral:rRNA from 2 species
CUAAUACAUGCAAGUCGAACGAACUCUGGUAUUGAUUGGUGCUUGCAUCAUGAUUUACAUUUGAGUGAGUGGCGAACUGGUGAGUAACACGUGGGAAACCUGCCCAGAAGCGGGGGAUAACACCUGGAAACAGAUGCUAAUACCGCAUAACAACUUGGACCGCAUGGUCCGAGUUUGAAAGAUGGCUUCGGCUAUCACUUUUGGAUGGUCCCGCGGCGUAUUAGCUAGAUGGUGGGGUAACGGCUCACCAUGGCAAUGAUACGUAGCCGACCUGAGAGGGUAAUCGGCCACAUUGGGACUGAGACACGGCCCAAACUCCUACGGGAGGCAGCAGUAGGGAAUCUUCCACAAUGGACGAAAGUCUGAUGGAGCAACGCCGCGUGAGUGAAGAAGGGUUUCGGCUCGUAAAACUCUGUUGUUAAAGAAGAACAUAUCUGAGAGUAACUGUUCAGGUAUUGACGGUAUUUAACCAGAAAGCCACGGCUAACUACGUGCCAGCAGCCGCGGUAAUACGUAGGUGGCAAGCGUUGUCCGGAUUUAUUGGGCGUAAAGCGAGCGCAGGCGGUUUUUUAAGUCUGAUGUGAAAGCCUUCGGCUCAACCGAAGAAGUGCAUCGGAAACUGGGAAACUUGAGUGCAGAAGAGGACAGUGGAACUCCAUGUGUAGCGGUGAAAUGCGUAGAUAUAUGGAAGAACACCAGUGGCGAAGGCGGCUGUCUGGUCUGUAACUGACGCUGAGGCUCGAAAGUAUGGGUAGCAAACAGGAUUAGAUACCCUGGUAGUCCAUACCGUAAACGAUGAAUGCUAAGUGUUGGAGGGUUUCCGCCCUUCAGUGCUGCAGCUAACGCAUUAAGCAUUCCGCCUGGGGAGUACGGCCGCAAGGCUGAAACUCAAAGGAAUUGACGGGGGCCCGCACAAGCGGUGGAGCAUGUGGUUUAAUUCGAAGCUACGCGAAGAACCUUACCAGGUCUUGACAUACUAUGCAAAUCUAAGAGAUUAGACGUUCCCUUCGGGGACAUGGAUACAGGUGGUGCAUGGUUGUCGUCAGCUCGUGUCGUGAGAUGUUGGGUUAAGUCCCGCAACGAGCGCAACCCUUAUUAUCAGUUGCCAGCAUUAAGUUGGGCACUCUGGUGAGACUGCCGGUGACAAACCGGAGGAAGGUGGGGAUGACGUCAAAUCAUCAUGCCCCUUAUGACCUGGGCUACACACGUGCUACAAUGGAUGGUACAACGAGUUGCGAACUCGCGAGAGUAAGCUAAUCUCUUAAAGCCAUUCUCAGUUCGGAUUGUAGGCUGCAACUCGCCUACAUGAAGUCGGAAUCGCUAGUAAUCGCGGAUCAGCAUGCCGCGGUGAAUACGUUCCCGGGCCUUGUACACACCGCCCGUCACACCAUGAGAGUUUGUAACACCCAAAGUCGGUGGGGUAACCUUUUAGGAACCAGCCGCCUAAGGUGGGACAGAUGAUUAGGGUGAAGUCGUAACAAGGUAGCCGUAGGAGAACCUGCGGUUG